rnacentral:misc_RNA from 1 species
GAUGAAGAACGCAGCGAAAUGAGAUACGUAAUGUGAAUUGCAGAUUUCAGUGAAUCAUCGAAUCUUUGAACGCACAUUGCGCCCGCUAGUAUUCUGGCGGGCAUGCCUGUUCGAGCGUCAUUUCAACCAUCAAGCCCCCGGCUUGCGUUGGAGCCCUGCGGCUGCCGCAGGCUCCCAAAUCUAGUGGCGGGCUCGUCGUCGUACCGAGUGCAGUAAACAUCCUCGCUCAGGGAACGCGUCGGGUUCUUGCCGUGAAACCCCCCCAUAUCAAGGUUGACCUCGGAUCAGGUAGGAAUACCCGCUGAACUUAAGCAUAUCAAUAAGCGGAGGA